UACGUAGGGGGGCAAGCGUUGUCCGGAUUUAUUGGGCGUAAAGAGCGUGUAGGCGCCAGACAGGUCCGUUGUGAAAACUCGAGGCUCAACCUCGAGACGCCGAUGGAAACCGUCUGGCUAGAGUCCGGAAGAGGAGAGUGGAAAUUCCUGGUGUAGCGGUGAAAUGCGCCAGAUAUCAGGAAGAACACCCGUGGCUAAGGCGGCUCUCUAGUACGGUACUGACGCUGAGACGCGAAAGCGUGGGGAGCGAACAGG
rnacentral:rRNA from 1 species